rnacentral:lncRNA from 1 species
AAUUAGGGAAUGCUGGAAAGGACAGCCAUCUCAUGGCCUACAAGAGCCGAGGAUGCCUCUGACCAACUGGUUGCCUGGAUGAGGAAACUGAGCUCCCAGCUGCAAUUGGAGCCCAAAUAGGAGGGCUGGGGAAGACCAGAAAAUAAGGACCACAGCCUCUCUGACCCCUAAGGAAGUAAGGAAGAUCAGCUCACCCACAGUGAGGCUCUUCUCUAGGCCCAGUGGCUCCAGCUCAAGUGCUGGGAAUCAAACUCAGGACCUGUCACUUGCUAGGGGAUUCAAGCAUGAGUCGCUGCAGUUUGAGGAACCCUGAUCUCUGCC